rnacentral:tRNA from 1 species
GUCCAAAUUAGCUCAGUCAGUAGAGCGUGAGACUUAAACUGAGGAUCAUGGGUUCAAGAUCCAUAUUGGACA